rnacentral:rRNA from 1 species
UUCCAUCUGGAAGAAGUCUGGAGGACAGGUGCUGCAUGGCUGUCGUCAGCUCGUGUCGUGAGAUGUUGGGUUAAGUCCCGCAACGAGCGCAACCCUUGCCUUUAGCUGCCAGCAGUUCGGCUGGGCACUCUAAAGGGACUGCCGGUGUUAAACCGGAGGAAGGUGGGGAUGACGUCAAGUCCUCAUGGCCUUUAUGACCAGGGCUACACACGUACUACAAUGGCCGAUACAAAGGGCAGCGACACUGCGAGGUGAAGCCAAUCCCGUAAAAUCGGUCUCAGUCCGGAUUGGAGUCUGCAACUCGACUCCAUGAAGUUGGAAUCGCUAGUAAUCGUGGAUCAGCAUGCCACGGUGAAUACGUUCCCGGGCCUU